GGCCACAUGGUGAGGCAUUAGUACCAGUGAUCCCUCCUGCUGAUGUCACCACGCUGAUAAGGAGGGAGCAUGGCUGGUGAAGCCCUUAUCUGUAGAGGCCAUCUGAAAUGGCACUGCACAGGCUGGGAGACAAGCGGCAAGAAAGCAGAAAGGGACCUGGGGUGUUGAUGACAGCAAGGAUGUUAGGGUCCUUGAAGGCAUCAAGAGGAGGGCAACAAAGCAGCCAAUUCUACAUUCCAAGCCUGGACCGCCUGUACUUUGCUGCCAUUGCUUGUGGCAGGUGUCACCAACAACCAGAGCAAAAACAGCCAAGUUCACUGCAGCAUGCCAAAAAGUGUGCCACAGCCCGGGCCCACAUCUUUGUCCGCAAGGUGCAGCCAAGCACAGCACUCCAGAAGGACAGGAAUCACCAGUGAGCAGUUCCAGGUCAGCCUUCAUCAACGUUUGGGCCUCCUGAUGGCUUCCAAACUGAAAUACUAUUCUUCUGUGCUUCUACCUGGCCACAAAUUGAGCUGCUGCCAUUGCAACAGGUUCUGGCCUUCCUGCACUAGUAGGUGCACCUUGCGAACAUUGUGGCAUUCCUGUACACAAAGCCAAAUCUGGGCUGCACAAAAUGAGGUUUUUAUUUCGCUUCUUGGAUCAAAAUCUGGUUCCUAGGCCCCAUCUUGCAAGCCAAUUUAAUUGAUUUCACACGCAAACUCCUCAAAAUUAGGGCUCUGCAUUUUUUAUCCUGAAUUAUCUCUUUGAGACUCAUUGCUAGCAUUAAAGGAGGCAAUUAACGAAAUUGAUUCAUCAGAACUGGCAGUGUCCUGCAACCAUCAAUAGAAAUCGAUCUUUAGGGCAGUCAGCCAUUAAAAAAGAGGAGAAUGUAAGUGUUAUUAGCUUAGAUGUGUAACCUGAUUACACAGAAAUCUCAAUAGCACUUACUGUGAAUAUUUAUCUGCUUUCCAUAGCGCUCUGUCAAAUACAAAUGGACAGCAUUGGUUAUAAUGGUGCAAUCCCAUUAUACUAAGAGAUAAACGCCACAAAACAAAAUAGGUUGAGCAACUAACACACUCACUGCCGUAUUGAUUUGUAUGUUCACAGAGCAUGCACAGCCACUGAUCUCAGCAGCCAUUAAAGGUUUACUUCACUCUCUGUGUGUCCUGAUCCUGUGCCUGCUCCUCAGUGAAAUUCUCUGCAAAUGCUCAGUUUAGAAGAGACGAAUGAGCAGCCAUAUCCAGUGCAGAUGAAUUCCCGAGCCAAGGAUGUAAAUUCAUGGCACAAACAAGGAAUGCUUCUUACAGAGCACACAGGGCACUGAUGCUGGCAUGUGAUUGUGCUUAAAUUUUGAAGUAGGUGAGAGGCGGAGAGUUUGUAUUUUUCAGAUUUGAAGACACAGGAGAGAACCUGAGACUGAAGGAACUGGGGCUGUUUAGUCUGGGGAAGAGGAGGCUGAGGGGAGACCUUAUUGCUCUCUUCCUAUAUCUGAAAGGUGCUUACAGCGAGAGCGGGGUUGGUCUCUUCUCACUGGUGACAGGUGACAGGAUGAGGGGAAAUGGCCUCAAGCUGUGCCAGGAUAAGUUUAGGUUGGAUAUCAGGAAACACUUCUUUACAGAAAGGGUGGUUAAGCACUGGAAUAGGCUCCCCAGGGAGGUGGUUGAGUCACCAUCCCUGGAUGUGUUUAAAAACCGUUUGGAUGUGGCGUUCAGGGCCAUGAUUCAGCAGAGGGUUGUUAAUUAAGGUAGUAUGGUUAGGCUGUGGUUGGACUCGAUGAUCUUUAAGGUCUCUUCCAACCUGAGCGAUUCUACGAUUCUGUGAUUCUAUGAACCUCGUAUUCAAGCAUAGAAUGACUGGAGGGGAUGAGCUGGGUGGAAACAUAGAAUCAAAACCACUGCCUCUCCAGAUUUCUCCUGAGGAUUUUAACCUACAUGUUAUUACAGCUGAAAUAUAAACCAGAGGUACCCUUUGGACUGGUUUAUUGCACUUACCUUUAGCAACUCAUGGGCAUAGACACCCUUACCACUAGCAGCAAUAGCUGGCAAUAAAAGGUGUAUGAUGGAUGGAUAGAAAUUGGCAUCUAAAAAGAUUCUUAGUCAAUUUUACAUGCCUGAAGUUCUUAAAAAAGGAGAUCUGCUAAUACAAAGAAAUAUAACCCUACUACUGAGUAGGAAUUGCUUUGAGAAGAGAUUUUGCUUGAAUCUGAUGUAAGGCCAUUCACAGUAACAAAGAAUAUGUAUUGCCUAUUAAAAAAUAACAGCCCUUUGGCCUUUGGGAAGUAUUCAUAGAAUCAUAGAAUCUUUUGAAUUAGAAGGGAUUUUUAAAGGCCAUCUAGUCCAACUCCCCCUGCAAUGAACAAGGACACCUACAGCUACACCAGGUUGUUCAGAGCCCCACCAGCCUGACCUUCAGUGUCUCCAAGAACAGAGCAUCCACCACCUUUGGAUGUCAGGGGGAAGUUCUUUACACAGAGAGUGGUGAGGUGCUGGAACAGGCUGCCCAGAGAUGCUGUGGGUGCUCCGUCCCUGGAGGUGUUCAAGGCCAGGUUGGAUGGGGCCCUGGGCAACCUGAUCUAAUGCCAGAUCUGGAGGUUGGUGGCCCUUCCAUGGCAGGGACUUGGAACUUGGUGAUCCUUGAGGUCCCUUCCAACCCAAGCCAUUUUAUGAUUCUAUCAUGCACUCUGGGUGACCUGUUCCAGUGCCUCACCACCCUCAUUGUAAAACACUUCUUCCUUAUAUACAGUCUAAAUCUCCCUUCUUUUUUUUUUCCUUUCAUUUGAAACCCUUCCCCCUUGUCCUGUCACCAUGGACCCUGAUAAAGAUUCUGCCUCCUUCCUUCUUAUAGUGCCCUUUAAAUACUGAAAGGUUGCUAUCAAAUCUCCAGAGCUUUCUCUUCUGCAGGCUGAACAACCCCAGCUCUCUCAGCCUGUCCACACAGGGUAGUUGUUCCAUCCCUUGGAUCAUUCUUGUGGCCCUCCUCUGGAUGUGCUCCAACAGGUCUGUGUCUCUCCUGUACUGAGGACUCCCCAUCUGGAUGCAGUACUCCAGGUGAGGCCUCACCAGCUCAGAGCAGAGGGGCAGAAUUACCUUCCUCAAUCUGCUGGCCACACUUAUUUGGAUGCAGCCCAGGAUGUAGUGGGUUUUCUGGGCUGUGAAGGCACAUUGUUGGCUCAUGUCCAGCUUGCCACCCACCAGUACCUCCAAGCCCUAUUCAGCAGGGCUGUGCUCCAUCCAUAUAUCCCCUAGCUUGUACUGAUAGUGCAGGUUACCACAACCCAGGUGCAGUACCUUGCGCUUGGAUUUACUGAACUUCAAGAGGUUCGUGGGUGCUACACUGCCUUUUUUCCAGUCAAUGGGAACUUCAUCUGACCUCCGUGACUUCUCAAGUAUCAUUGAGGGCAGCUUGGUGACUGUGUCAGCCAAUUACUUCAGGACUCUGGGAUGCAUCUCAUCACGACCCACAGAAUUAUGGAUGUUCUGGCUCCUCAGGCAGUCAUGAACCUGAUCUUCACUUACAGCAGGAGGAGUAGUGCUCCCCCAGCUCCCACCUUCCAAACUGUCUGCUUGAGGGCUAUGUGUAGAGCAGUCACUAGUGAAGACCAGAGCAAAAAAAAAAGGCCUCAGCCUUCCCUGUCCAUUGUCACCAGCCUGUCUGUAUUGCUCACUAGGAGGUGUGCACCCUUCUGGACUUUAUUUUUCUGGUUGACGGACAUGUAGAAGCCUUCUUUGCACCCCUUGCCAUGUCCAGUUCCAGUUGAGCCUUGUCCUCCCUGACUCCAUCCCUACACAGCUCAGCGGUAUCCCUGUACUCCUCCUAUGUUACCUGUCCCUGCUUCCAUUGCCUGUGCAUUUUCUUCUUGCUCUCUAGUUUGACCAGCAGGCCCUGUCCAUCCAUGCCAGUCUCCUGCUUUCCUUUCCUGACCUCCUACACCGGAGCAUGGAGAUUUCUUGUGCACUAUGGAAAGGUCUGCCAGCUCUGCUCUGCUCCCUUGUCCUUGAGGACAGAUUCCCAGGGGUUUUUGUUGUCUAACUCCUUGAAGAGCUGGAAGAUGGCUAGCACAUAGUCUCUCCAGCUUAGCUGUGUUAUCCCACACAUUGUCGUGAGCAGGCUCACUAUCACCCAUUUCCCACUUGAAACCUAGCUUAAAGCCCUGUCAGUGAGCCUAGACAACUCCUGGGCUACAGUUCUUUUCCCCCUAUGACUUAGGUGGACCCCAUCAGCAGCCAUCAGGAUGGACAACUGAUUUACUCCAGGCCAUAAAUCAUUUGCUUGCAUCAUGGAAGAACAAAUGUGUAGUGAUUUUCAAUUAACACUUUUCCUUCUCUAAUUUUACCAGAAAAACAGCAACAAAAAACAAACUUGUCCCAGAGAUUUUGUAAUUUCUAAUCUGCACUGUUAUUAUUUCCAUAAAAUUACGGAUGGUAUUAAUGCUUUUAAGCGCAACGCUGACAGCCUGCAGCCAAAACCACAUGCCAUUAACCAGGUGGGACAGGGCUGAAGCUCUCUCGUGUGUUGUUUUGCUGGGCUCGGUUCUGACAGUAGGUGUCAGCAGCAGCUCACCAUGGAGCCCUCUGGUGCCAGAAGUGCCGCUGAGCAGAGUGUAGGGUACAACCGCAGUCCCACUGCGUCUCCUUUUACCAGACUACUCCGAUAAAGAAAAACAGAGUCUGAGUGCUGAACAUCACAGAUGAUUGCAGACAGCUGAGCCAACGAACAAGACACGUUUGCAGUCAACUGAGCCAACGAACAAGACAAGCUGCAAGUGAAGCUUUGGUUUCACACUUGGGUCAUUCACACAACUGGUAGGGUCGUGCACAAGGCACACAUUGAUAUUGUUACUUGUUGCAGAAUAUUGCACGCUGAGAACAUGAGUGCCUGCUCUGAGGUCCAGAACACAGCAGGAAAUCUGCUCAAACAGCAGCAACAAAGCAGGAGUAAAUAGAAAGCAAAUCAAAGGUCUCACUGUGAUCUGACUGCCAUAGACAGAUGCAUAAGGAAGACUCAGUGGCUGUAAUUCUAAGGCGAGGAUUUCAAAUAAAAUCAUACUAAGGUCCUUCAUUACCACCAAAUUCAUUUCACACAUUCUGGUAAAUGAGUGCAAUGGGAGAAAGCUGGCUAAAAAGUAGAAAUCUUGGGAGAUGCACUGUUGAUACAGAAGUAAGACAUCCUAUAGGGAAAACUCUAAAUUUGGCCCUGAGCAAAUCCACAUACAUGAAAAGAAGUGACAGCUAUUUUAUCUGGACACUCGUGAGUUCUGGUAUCCUCUCACAUGAUACUUUAUAACCAAGCUAGCAAACAAGGCACAGAUCGGGUACUGCUGUCCUAGCUCGGAAAGCUGCAGUUAUAGCACACUUAUGUAACCACGCAGAGCAGCUGGUCAGCACCAAACUGCAAAAGCCUACAAAAUGAGGUUAUGCAGGCAUCUGCCCUCGGUCUGCUCAUCAGCUACAUGCAAGAUUAUAUUUAUUAAACCUGGGGACACGCUAAGCUGGAAGGAGUUGCAAGCACUUUGAGGGAGAAAUUUGUAGUUCAUAAUGAAGUUGACAAGCUGUGAAAUAAACAUGUCAAACAUCAGCAGAUACAAUGCUUUAGUCCUACAAUCACAAGAUAAGAGAAUACAUUCAUCGGACCCAUUUUUCAGAAAGAAUGAGGGUAUGCAAUGAAUCAUGCACUGAUCAUGAGUCAGUCGUGUCAUAUCGUUACAGAAAAGCAAAGUCUUUCAAAGAAUUAAUAGAAUUAAUACAAGGAUGAUGCAGGUGAGAUAACAUAACACAGAGGCACUUGCAGAAGGAGCAGUGUGUGUUGGUGCCUCACUGCAAGGAGCAUAUGAACUAAUAGGACAUACUUGAAAAAAAAUGAGAAUUUGAGAAAAAGAGGCUGAGAGCUUAUCUUCUUCUAUGUGGGUCAGCAGAGCUGAGAGUUUCAGCUGGUUUUGUAACAACUUGCAGAUCAAAGAAUAUUUGGAUUGAAGCCAGCUACCCAUCCCAAGAGCGUUAUUCCCCGUUCAGCCCUUAAAGCUCUUCCCUGGCUCUCUGAUGCGUUAAUAUCCAUGAAGGAAAAACAUGAGGAAAGCAUCAAGUCCCAGUCUCACACACAGAGAAGCAAUGGGGUAGGAGUGGGUGAAGGAGAUGCACGUGGGCACUCUCAUAUGGGAACGCUGCCAAAGCAGCUUCUUGUGAGCCCCUGCCAUCCCCUCUCCUUUUUUGCAGGCAUUUUUACUGCAGCUGUCCAUGUAGGAUGGAGAAGCAAAUAGAAGAUAUUCUGGCUGGUGCUUCUAGGUGAGCUGUUCAGACAUUGACCUGUGUGUAGUUAAACAAAUCACCCCGUCUGCAAGGAUUUGUGCGAGAAAACAAAUGACAGAGCAAACAGAGGACAGAACAGCUGUGACAGCAGUAAGGACUGAGCCUCACCCUUUAAAAGGUUUUCGAGUCUCAGUGAUUCCUAUUACAGAUGGAGUGGAAUUAGGAACCUUGAGUGUGUACUUCUGUCCUCACAGGGGAAUACCGGAGCAAAAAAACAUGCUGUUCUCACAGCUCAAUUACAAUGAGGAAAACACUGACUCUAAUGGCAA
ensembl:lncRNA